AUGCUUCAUCUGCGGCUAGCUGACUACAACAGCACAUAUGUAAAGGGAAACCAUCGUAAGAAACACAGAUCAGCUCUUCAUUCUUUCAAGCGCUAUGUUGCUUACUCAAAUGUUUGUGGCGAUUUCGUUGUUGGCUGGAAGACAUCUUCAAUACGCCGUCAACACGAGCUUCCCAAGAAAGAAGAUUUUGUGGAUGAUGUAAGAUAUCCACAUGUUGUAUAUGUGGAAAAACCAAAGGCUCAGGAUGUUGAUUUUUCGGAUGAAAUGAUUUAUCAGGAAAAAACUACAAGUGAAAUGGAAGAAGUAACGCUCAAAAGCCUGAAUAGAAUUCCUUGGGAAAGGGUAGAUGUUAGCUUCAAGAGAAGUAGACAAUGGAUUUUUGCCCAUAGCACCAUUCAGGUCCAGUUGUCGUUGCCUUCACUUGCUUUGUCGUUUACCGAUCUGUCAGCUCGCCGGUUCCCUGACUUGCUGUCAAGUUGA
rnacentral:rRNA from 1 species